GGUAGAGCAGGAGAGGACGUCGAAUCGAAUUGUCAAUGAAUGCUCACUCUACAACAAAAUUAAAAUUAAAAAGCCUUUUUCUAUUUCCACUUGGCCAAAUCAUCUGAUAACAUGUCUGGCUGUCUGGCUUGACUGCUGUCCUGCCGAAUGCUACGUGUACCGGCCGUACGUCUCAUCCUAUUCUGAAUACUUGACAAAAGAAGUUCCACAGCCAGGUGAAGUCUGAGCUUUUGCAGUGCUGUCUAUCAUGCUCGUGGUCUCGUUGCAACCAGCUGGUGAAUGGUGUGGUGAGCUACUUCCAUGCAGUCUGUGGGGCUGACCUUGAUUGCAGGUAACUUUUAUAACACAGAACUUCACUUCAGCCAUCCAAUCCAGUUCUUGCAUCCAAUUGUGUAGACUGCACAGAACUCUCAUUUAUAGCUUUGCUGUGAAUUUCAUCAACAUGUCUAAUAACUGAAGUCCAACAAGGUCUUAUCUUAUUUAGUUUGUUUUAAAAAUUUGACAUGACAAAAAAGAAUUUUAG